rnacentral:rRNA from 1 species
UACGUAGGGUGCAAGCGUUGUCCGGAAUUACUGGGCGUAAAGAGUUCGUAGGCGGUUUGUCGCGUCGUUUGUGAAAACCAGCAGCUCAACUGCUGGCUUGCAGGCGAUACGGGCAGACUUGAGUACUGCAGGGGAGACUGGAAUUCCUGGUGUAGCGGUGAAAUGCGCAGAUAUCAGGAGGAACACCGGUGGCGAAGGCGGGUCUCUGGGCAGUAACUGACGCUGAGGAGCGAAAGCGUGGGGAGCGAUCCGG